rnacentral:rRNA from 1 species
CAGUAGCCGCGGUAAUACGUAGGUGGCAAGCGUUGUCCGGAAUUAUUGGGCGUAAAGGGCUCGCAGGCGGUUUCUUAAGUCUGAUGUGAAAGCCCCCGGCUCAACCGGGGAGGGUCAUUGGAGACUGGGAAACUUGAGUGCAGAAGAGGAGAGUGGAAUUCCACGUGUAGCGGUGAAAUGCGUAGAGAUGUGGAGGAACACCAGUGGCGAAGGCGACUCUCUGGUCUGUAACUGACGCUGAGGAGCGAAAGCGUGGGGAGCGAACAGGAUUAGAUACCCCAGUAGUCCCUGUCUCUUAUAC